AUUGAACGCUGGCGGCAUGCCUUACACAUGCAAGUCGAACGGUAACGGGUCCUUCGGGAUGCCGACGAGUGGCGAACGGGUGAGUAAUAUAUCGGAACGUGCCCAGUAGUGGGGGAUAACUGAUCGAAAGAGCAGCUAAUACCGCAUACGACCUGAGGGUGAAAGGGGGGGAUCGCAAGACCUCUCGCUAUUGGAGCGGCCGAUAUCAGAUUAGCUAGUUGGUGGGGUAAAGGCCUACCAAGGCAACGAUCUGUAGUUGGUCUGAGAGGACGACCGGCCACACUGGGACUGAGACACGGCCCAGACUCCUACGGGAGGCAGCAGUGGGGAAUUUUGGACAAUGGGCGCAAGCCUGAUCCAGCAAUGCCGCGUGCAGGAAGAAGGCCUUCGGGUUGUAAACUGCUUUUGUCAGGGAAGAAAUCUUCUGGGCUAAUACCCCGGGAGGAUGACGGUACCUGAAGAAUAAGCACCGGCUAACUACGUGCCAGCCGCCGCAGUAA
rnacentral:rRNA from 1 species